AGCGAACGCUGGCGGCAGGCCUAACACAUGCAAGUCGAACGAACCUUUCGGGGUUAGUGGCGGACGGGUGAGUAACACGUGGGAACGUGCCUUUAGGUUCGGAAUAACUCAGGGAAACUUGUGCUAAUACCGAAUGUGCCCUUCGGGGGAAAGAUUAAUCGCCUUUAGAGCGGCCCGCGUCUGAUUAGCUAGUUGGUUGAGGUAAUGGCUCACCAAGGCGACGAUCAGUAGCUGGUCUGAGAGGAUGAUCAGCCACAUUGGGACUGAGACACGGCCCAAACUCCUACGGGAAGCAGCAGUGGGGAAUCUUGCGCAAUGAGCGAAAGCCUGACGCAGCCAUGCCGCGUGAAUGAUGAAGGUCUUAGGAUUGUAAAAUUCUUUCACCGGGGACGAUAAUGACGGUACCCGGAGAAGAAGCCCCGGCUAACUUCGUG
rnacentral:rRNA from 1 species